rnacentral:rRNA from 1 species
UACGUAGGGGGCGAGCGUUGUCCGGAUUUAUUGGGCGUAAAGAGCGUGUAGGCGGCCAGGUAGGUCAGCUGUGAAAACUCGAGGCUCAACCUCGAGAUGUCGGCUGAAACCAUCUGGCUAGAGUCCGGAAGAGGAGAAUGGAAUUCCCGGUGUAGCGGUGAAAUGCGCAGAUAUCGGGAAGAACACCCGUGGCGAAGGCGGUUCUCUGGGACGGUACUGACGCUGAGACGCGAAAGCGUGGGGAGCAAACAGG